UUAAACCAGAGUUUGUCCCGGAGCAGCCGAGCUUUGCAGCCCCAUGGAGCCCAAAGGCCUUGCUGGCCCGAACUCUGCCAGUCCUCCCCGCUUGUGGCCGUUGUCACCCCGGACGGGAGCAGGGUUGGGGGCUGGCACAGCCAGGAAGGCGGCCCAUUUUCUUUUUUAUAUAUAUAAAAGUUUUUUAUUUUGAUACAAACAUACAAACAGGACAUACAAAACAUAAAAACCAUCUUCCAUAUAUACAUACAGUGUGUCAGUUGGUUACAAAUCCUUUGUGUCAUCCUUUCAUAUUCAUCACUCACAAUUUAUCAAAAAGAAAAUUUCUCAUAUUAUCAAUAAAACAUUAUGUAUUUAUCAAUUAUUACUUGUGUACAAUUAAACUAUUUAUUUCAUCAUAUAUACGAGAUAUAUUUUUAAUCUAAAAUUUAUGUUAUACUUUCAUCCAAUGGUUAUAUAUAUCAACAUUAUAUUUUAUAUCAACCUAUUAUAUUUCUAUUACAAAAUUAUAUAGACUAUUGCAUUACCAAGUCUUUUUAUCCAACCAUUGAUAAAACAAAUCCCAUAUCUUGUAAAAUUGUUUAUCUUCUUGUUCUCUAAUUUCAAAUGUCAGUUUACUCAUUUCAGCACAGUCCAUAAUUUUCCUAAUCACUUCCUCCUGGCGACCCAUUUUCAACCCCCCCUUCUCUUCUCCUGUGCAGCCGACCCCUGCCAGCCCAACCCUUGCUUGCACGGUGGAACCUGCGUGCGGGACAACAGCUCCGAGGCCUUCCGCUGCGAAUGCCAGGAGAAAUACCAGGGGAAACGCUGCGAGAACGAGCCAGAAGGUAAAGCCGGAGCCACCAAGAUUCUCCUUUAUUGGAAAGGCGGAUUGCUGCCCCUGCUGAGGCGGCCCCUUUCCCCCUCCUCAGUCUUUAGCGAGCCUUCUGCUCCCUCCCGGGCCGGAAGCGGGUCCCGGCGACCGAACUGACCCGCUCUCUGGCCUUGCGCACCGCCCCCAACCCAGAGCCAGCCCCGCCAACGUCACCUUUGCCCGGAUCAGCCGAGCUUUGCGCGCUGAGUGAGCGCGCCCGGUGGAGCGUAGCGCCCAGCCCCGAGCUCCGCCCACCGCCCCCUUCUCUCUUCCCCCCCCUCCAGACGAUUGGCGGAUCCCCUUCUACAUCGCGCUGGGCGUGGCGGCCGGCGCCGUCCUGCUGGCCGUGGUGGUCUCCGUGCUGGUCUGCUUGUGCACGCGCAGGAAUCGGUCGCGGAACUCGGCGGCUUCCCGCAACCUCGGCCCCCUCUCCAACCCCGCAUUUGAGCGCGACUAGAAGCCGGGCCUUCCUUCCCCGGAGGGUCUGCCCUCCUCGCCCCGGAGCCCGCCCCUCCCUCCGGCCGUUCCCAAUAAAGCG
rnacentral:lncRNA from 1 species